UGUACUGCAUUUGAUCAAUGGAAGGAACAAGAUUAGAGAGUAUGCAAGCGGACACUCACACCACGUUCCACGCUACUACCACGACUCUUAUAAUAGACCAACGCACACAACAUACGGUACGAUGCCAUGACGACGACGACGACGUACGCGCGCUCAGUUGGACCGCAUUUUGUUGAGCUGAUUGAGCGCCGGCUGCAGAAUGUUGUAGAGCACCCAGCCGAGGGCGGGCGCCACCACGAAAAGCAGCAGCAGGCCCCGGUUGUCGUCGGCCGGCGCGACCGCCGCCAGCGCGGCGAGCUCCUGCACGGCGGCGGAGGCCGGCUCCGGCACGGCGGCCAGGCCGGCGGCCGCGGCAGCGCCGAUGCCCAGCCCGGCGACGAGCGCCUUCUCGGACCGCAUCUUGUUGAGCUGGUUCAGCGCCGGCUGGAGGAUGUUGUAGAGCACCCACCCGAGCGCGGGCGCCACCACGAAGAGCAGGAGUAGGCCCCGGUUGUCGUCCGCGGGCGCCGCCGCCGCCACGUCCGCGAUCCGCUGCGACGCCAUCGCCGCGUCCGACGAGGCCAGCGAGGUGAAGAAGGCGCUCGCCAUGGCAGCGGCCGCCGGCGACACGGCCAGGGCUCCCUUCUUGGCCGCGUUCUUCUGCAGGCUGCGCAGCGAGAUGCUCGGCGACGCCACCUUGGCGCUGGACGACGUCGACGACGAAGGCGCCGACCUCGCCGUGAUCUUGGCGGGCUUGAGCAUGGUCAUCGUGGCUAUGGUCGCCAUUGACGCCUAGCUCCCUGGUUGCUCGCUGCCUUCUCUCCCUCGCAAGAAGCUCUCACGCUGGCAAAAAGGUGGAUGGAGGGGUGCUGUGGGGUGCGCGGGUGUGUAAUGCGAUGCCCUUCCCUUCCCCUGCGUUUCUAGAACGGACGAUGUGGCGUGGCUAGCUUAUCUUGUGCGGCGAGUGUGCGAUGGAGGUUUGAAAGCUUAUCUCGCGGCCUGCAACUUGCAAUGCCAUUGGCUGUGGGAGCAACUAGGCGGGGACCACACGAUUUACAUGGAGACUUUGGUGAGAGGAAGUGGAGUCGUGAAAUGAAUCGGAAAUUCAGAUAUCUCACAGUAGUAGGAAUAUAAGCGUGCCCUAGAAUGUCCUAUGGUACCAAACGACAAGAUCGUAUUCGUCUCAAGAAAAGACAAGAUCGGAGAUCGUCUGGAUUGAAACGUCUAGGUAUUUUCGGUGAAUUUCAGUUAAAAAUACACGAAAUGACGUUCAUCUUCGUGCUCCACAAUGUCUUUCCUCUUCGUUUACGCUGAUCAUUGCAGAACUAUUCUGUAACACAGACGAAGGAAGUAGACAACACCAUCCAAACGUUGAUAAUAAUUAAUAAGUUUAUGAAUUACUUCAUGCAUGAGCAUCAAAAUAUGAUGAACCACCAAACUAGAUACAGCACGGAAAGAACAAAAUCUGGUAGCAAUUAUUCACUCCCUACACGGAAUCGCCAGGCGUUUCCAUCCAUUAUUCGUCAGGGUAGAAACCAUGGAGCAAAAACAAACCAAAUGGCAGGCUGAUUACAACUUUCCGACAUCUCCACGGGGGAAGACCCUGCUCUGCUCACACUCAGGCUCCGAGCUGCAGCUUCUUUAUUGUGUCGAUCUGCUUUGCAGGGUUCAGCCCCUUGGGGCAGGCAUGCGUGCAGUUCUUGAUGGUGUGGCAGCGGUACAGCUUGAACUCGUCGUUGAUGGAGUCAAGGCGCUCCUUUGUGAACUCAUCACGGCUGUCUUGGAUCCACCUGGGAAGAACCAAUGUGUUUAUGGCACACGCCAAAGAAGCAUGUUAUAUCUCUCAGACACUGCAGUCGUAAGCCCAAUCCAAAGAACCAAUGUGUUUAUGGCUCAAGGCAUUUGAAACACUUGCAGAUAUGUGAAAAUGAUACUUAAACAAGUUAUAAAUGACUAAGAUGUUUCCCGGUUCUUCUGACUAAGGGCACUUGCAAUUAUUAGUCAAAAGAUAUUGUUCAAAUUUUUGUGUGCCUUAUAUCAGAUCAUGUUUUAGAUUAGAAGUUAAAAGGGCAAAUUGUGACAAACAAUAUGAUAAAUCAGAGGAUCAGAUAUACUAAAUCUCAGUGCACUCAUCAAAUAAAACCAGAUGAGAUAAAUAUUGAAUCAAACAGCCAGCUUAUAGAAACCUUGAACAAUAGAAUCUUUAGCUUCAUAAAUGCUGAAUAGCAUGAAAAACAGUACAUUACACUGCCUCAACUAAAUAAAGAGAAAACCAUGCCGUUUGCUGGCAGUAAAAAAACUUGACAGAUAGUUUCAGGAAUCAAACACUGAAAGAGGGCAACCUUAUUUUGCUGGCCUACUGAAGAGCUAGUUCUUUCUUCUACCCAUCUGUUAACAUCUACCAAGAUGCUUUCUUAACACCCAUCAGUUCACCCUUAUUUGCCAAGGUACGGAACACGAUACGAGACAUGCGGAAUUUUUGGUAGACACCACGAGAGCGGCCCGUGAAAAUACAGCGGUUUCUAAGACGUGUCAUGUUACUAUUUCUUGGCAGCUUGGACAACUUAUAGCGAAACUUAUCCCGCAUAUCUGAUGGAAGAUCAGGGUCCCUACAGACAGACUUAUAAAGCUUUCCUCUCAGCUCAUAUUUUGCUGCAAGCAAUCUACGUUUGUGAUCACGCAUGUUUCUCUUCUCUGAGACCCCAUGAUAUCCUCGAGCUUGGACGUGCAUGAACAUGCUGGGUUUUGGUUUCAUUAGCGUCCCCCACAGCGGAAGCCUAAAAAGGGUGAACGGGUGAACGUGUCAUGGACUUAACAACAUCCUAAAGCUUACAACAAAAGGCAUUAAAUAUAUUAGACAAUUAGCAUUUUAAUUCUGGUAGAACAUAACCAUAAUUUGCGGGUAAAGGGGGAAACUAGCAUGCUCUAUACUGAAAGAGAGGUUACCACAAAUAAAAGUAACUUCCAAAUCAAGGCCACCUCAAGAAUUAGGCUACUAGUGGGGGGAUAGGGGGGCUAGGACUUCCGAUGUCAUCCACAAUCCUAAUAAGGAAGAAGACUCGCGAAGUCAUGAAGAAGCAGACUGCUGAAAUGACAAACUCAUGAUUAUUUCCAACAGUGGCGCAUCAACUUCCAAAACAAUCAGCCAAAGACCAGAUAAAAAAGAAUAAAAACAGUCCCUAGAUAAGGCAUUCUUCAACCAAACGGACAUUUCACAGUACCCACCAAAUGAUCAUCUACACUGCUUCGCCGGGGAGCUAGCAAAGAAGUAACAGAUGAUCAUUGCAUAAAUGGACCUAAUAAUAUAUAUACAAACAGUCACUGAUGCCCAAAAUGUAUAGGCAUUCUUCAACCAAACGGGCAUUUCACACUAUCCGCCAAACAAUCAUGUACACCGCUUUGCCAGGGAGCUAGCAAAAAAGUAACAGAUGAUCAUUGCAUAAAUGUACCAAAUAAUUCACCACCACAUACCAGUGAACAAUUCUCCUAGAUAAAACGCACAUAGUUGCAUGCCUAGAACUACCUAGGCGAGAUGAAACCACCCUACGUAUCAUCCCACAACCAUUUCACAGCAUGACACACCAACCGAUCAAUCACAUGUCACUCGGUAAUCGAGUAGAUCCAGCACACAGAAGCAACAUACUCAGCAUAUCAUCACAAUUCACGAUAUCAAGAGAAUACGAGCGAGGCGCAGGUAUACCUGUUGGCAUGGAGCAGCGCUGCGGGGCCGAGAUACUCUUCUGGGUUCCACCAGUAGGACGGGCAGGAUGUGGAGCAGCAGGCGCAGAGGAUGCACUCGUACAUGCCAUCGAGCUUGGCGCGGUCGGCCUUGGACUGGUAGAUCUCCUUCCCUCCGGCCGACGCCGGGUCCUUGCGCUUGAGCCACGGCUCGACGCUCUUGUACUGGUUGUAGAAGUUGGUCAUGUCGACGACGAGGUCCUUGACGACGAACAUGUGCGGGAGCGGCGAGAUCGUGGAGGCACCGGCCGCCUCCGAGGAGAUCUUGGUGAGGCAGGCCAGCCCGUUGUCGCCGUCGAUGUUCAUGGCGCAGCUGCCGCAGAUGCCCUCGCGGCAGCUCCGGCGGAAGGUGAGGGACGGGUCCUGCUCGUUCUUGAUCUUGAGGAGCGCGUCGAGCACCAUGGGGCCGCAGUCGGAGAGGUCCACCUUGUAGUCCUUGAGGUGGGGCUUCGUCGACGGGGAAUCCGGGUCCCAGCGGUAGAUCGAGAAGGUCUUGGUGCUAGCAGGCUUCGAUGAGGGCGGCGGCGGCGCGGGGGAAGAGGAAUGGGGCUUGGAGGCGACGAGGCGGGAGGAGAGGGCCGGCGAAAGGAGGGCGCGCGCCGCCGGCGAGCGGCGGAGGAGGGCGGCGGCGGCCAUCGAUUUGGGGUUUCGCGUUUCUCUCUCUCUCUCUCUCUCUCUCCUUUUUCUCCUUUAUUUUUGGGAGGUAGGAGAGGGGAAGGUGGCGCGUGGUGGGCUUAGGCCCAGCUGGGUAUAUAUAUGUCGUGGUGCUGAUGGGUGGAUGACAUGUGGGGUCAAGAUGGAGGUAACGGAAUGGCGGUUCUAGGGUUGUGGUGGGUUACUGACAGGUGGGGCUUCUGAAAGCUUGGGUUGGGCCUUCUUGUGGAUGGGAGGGUGGAGAUGUGGACAAGCUCUGGGCCGUUUGCAAGAUGACAAUGGAAAGUUGGCUAGGGAAAAUGACUUCAUCGUAGCGUCAAGUUUUAUUGGAUUUGUGUAGCUUUUUCCUCCUCUCCUUUUUCAGGUCUUCUAUUUCGGUUUUGACUCUGCUGUCAUACCGGUCUUCAUAUAUGUGGGGCAUGUGAGAAUUCAAGAAUGGUGUACUGUGGAAACUGAAACUUAUCUUCAAGCUAUCAUAAAUACAAGAUGUCCUAAUGUUUUAAUGUGUUUGUUCAAUCAUUCCAUUUUGUAUGUAGUCUAUAUUAAAAUAUAUAAUAUUUAUAAACUGAAAAAAAUACUGUGCAUGUAAAAUAUAAUGAAUAAAUUAAGUCGUUGGCACACAACACAUGAUCGUUGAGCCAUCAAUAAAAAGGAUACUCCCCCAUGUACAUUUUACUCCGCAUAUAAGAUUUGUUUAAAGACAGUCUUUGAAAAUUUUGGUCGACUUCAUUAGGAAAAAAAAUCAACAAUCGCAAUGCAAAAUCAAUAGCAUUAAAUGUAUCAUGAAUUUAAUUUUCAUAUUGUAUACCUUUAGCAUUGUAGAUGUUGAUAAUUUUACAUAAAUAUGAUUAAAUUUUAUGAAGUUUGACAUAAAAAAAAAAUCUUGUAUACAGAGCAUAAAAGACCGGAGGUAAUACUGCAUGAACCCUUUUAUUUCAACAACAAAACCAGUGCUAGCAUAAGGAAAGCAAUAUCAUGAGAGCUGCGUAGGCUUGCUCACGCAAAUCCCCAAAUCCUACCGUAGACUUUAGCUGCGAGAGCUAUAUCUCGCUCCAAAACCUUUCCCUCAUGUGCAGCCAUUGGACCAAACCAGUUUCGUCUGGUUGUUUCUGGUUUGAUCUGGUUUUGAUCGAGACACUCUUGUUCGCAUUAGUUUCUUUGAAAAAAAAAAUAUUCUUACCAUGAUUUUCUUUUGGUUCUACAACGGGUUUUUUUUUCGUUUUUAUUUGUUUUAGCCGGUUUCUUCAUUUAUUUAUCGGUAUGAAUGGUUUCCCUCUUUUUUCCUUAGUUUUUUUUUCUUUUCUCGAGUUUUUUGAGAUUUUUUCUUUUCUUUCUUGCAUCAGUUUUCUUCUGUUUCUUAUUAUUUUUAUUUUUCUUUCUCAUUCCUUUUGUAUUUUUAUUUGAUUUUUUGUUUCUUCCCUGCUUCCUAUGAUUUUCAGUGUUUUUUGUGUGUUUCUAUAUUUGUUUUUUUACUGUGUCCCAUUCUUUUUGCAAUUGUUUCUUCGGUUUUGUUUUUCUUUGGUUUCUUUUAUUUCUUUUGUCAGUUUUCAUUUGUUUCUCAUUUUUCUUUGAAUCUUUCAAUAUUCAUCAUACAUUUUACUUGUAUGACAAGAAUAUUUUUCUAACACAAGUUUAACAUUCUUAGAUACAGGUUUCAUUUUUUUAAUACACGGUCAGUAUUUAUUCUAUCCAUGUUUUUUAAGAUCUUGCAAUGGCUUGAUUAUCAUUUUCAAAUACAAGAUUACCAUUUUAGAUACAUGGUCAACAUUUUUCUAUACACAUUAAAAAUCAAAUGCUUAACUAACAUUUUUCAAAUACGCAUGUAAACUUUUUAAAUGUUUCAUUAGCAUUUUCUAAGUACAUGAUCAAUUUUACGGAGUGCAAUUUAAGUUGUCGCAAGUUAAAUAAAUAUUGCAUGAAGAUAGUGUUAGAGGUAAUAACAUUGUGGAAGUCCACUAGGAGAGUGACCAUUUCUGCUACGUGUUGGGUCCUAGAGAUGGAAUGUCAUCUCGACGACAAACCAAGGGUCGUUGUCAAUUGCCACAAGUUGCAUGUCAUGUUGGAAAUAUGUCCUAGAGUCAAUAAUAAAAUGGUUAUUAUUAUAUUUCCUAGUUCAUGAUAAUUUGUCUAUUGUUCAUGCUAUAAUUGUAUUAACCGGAAACCGUAACACAUGUGUGAAUAUAUAGAUAACAAUGUGUGUCUAGUGAGCCUCUAGUUGGCUAGCUCGUUGAUCAAUAGAGGAUCAUGGUUUCCUCAUCAUGGACAUUGGAUGUCAUUGAUAAUGGGAUUACAUCAUUGGGGAAAGAUGUGAUGGACAAGACCCAAUCCUAAGCAUAACACUAGAUCGUGUUGUUCGUCUGCUAAAACUUUUCUAAUGUCAAGUAUCAUUUCCUUAGACCGUGAGAUUGUGAAACUCCCGGAUACCAUAGGAGCGCUUUGGGUGUAUCAAAUGUCACAACGUAACUGGGUGAUUAUAAAGGUGCACUACGGGUAUCUCCGAAAUGUUGGAAAUAUGCCCUAGAGGCAAUAAUAAAUUAGUUAUUAUUAUAUUUCUUUGUUCAUGAUAAUCGUUUAUUAUCCAUGCUAUAAUUGUAUUGAUUGGAAACACAAAUACAUGUGUGGAUACAUAGACAAAACACUGUCCCUAGUAAGCCUCUAGUUGACUAGCUCGUUGAUCAAAGAUGGUCAAGGUUUUCUGACCAUAGACAAGUGUUGUCACUUGAUAACGGGAUCGCAUCAUUAGGAGAAUCAUGUGAUGGACUAGACCCAAACUAUGAACGUAGCAUAUUGAUUGUGUCAUUUUAUUGCUAUUGUUUUCUGCGUGUCAAGUAUUUAUUCCUAUGACCAUGAGAUCAUAUAACUCACUGGCACCGGAGAAAUACCUUGUGUGUAUCAAAUGUCGCAACGUAACUGGGUGACUAUAAGGGUGCUCUACACGUAUCUCCGAAGGUGUCCGUUGAGUUAGUAUGGAUCAAGACUGGGAUUUGUCACUCCGUGUGACGGAGAGGUAUCUCGGGACCCACUCGGUAAUACAACAUCACACACAAGCCUUCCAAGCAAUGUGACUAGAUGUAAGUCACGGGAUCUUGUAUUACAGAACGAGUAAAGAGACUUGCGAGUAACGAGAUUGAAAUAGGUAUGCGGAUACCGACGAUCGAAUCUCGGGCAAGUAACAUACAGAAGGACAAAGGAAAUGACAUACGGGAUUAUAUGAAUCCUUGGCACAGAGGUUCAACCGAUAAGAUCUCCGUAGAAUAUGUAGGAUCCAAUAUGGGCAUCUAGGUCCCGCUAUUGUAUAUUGAUCAAGAAGUGUCUCGGGUCAUGUCUGCAUAGUUCUCGAACCCGCAGGGUCUCCACACUUAAGGUUCGAUGAUGUUUUAGUAUAGUAGAGUUAUAUGUGUUGGUGAACGAAGGUUUUUCGGAGUCCCGUAUGAGAUCACGGACGUCACGAGGGUUUCUGGAAUGGUCCGGAAACGAAGUUUGAUAUAUAGGAAGUUGGUGUUUGGAUUCCGGAAAGUUUUCGGGCAUUGCCGGAGUGUACGGGGAAUGAUGAAUGGGUUCCGGGGGGCCACUGGGUGGGCCCACCACGCCCCAAGGGGUCCACAUGGGUUCAUUGGAUGUACAAUAAGGUAUAAUGGGCUGACAAAGUCAUCCAAGGAAAGCCCAUGAGGAAAAAGUGGAAAAUCCAAAAGAGGUGGGAAAAUAAGGAAGGAGUCCUAAUCCAAGUGGGAUUGGAGAAGGACUCCUCCCUUCCCCAAGUCGACCGACCCAAGGAGGCCUCCUUGGACGGCGCCCUAGGGCUUUGCCCCACCCCUUGGAUCCUCCUAUAUAUACUAGAGAUUUAGGGCUGUUUUGAGACACAACUUUGCCACAUGCAAGUCAAACCUACACCUCGCAGUUCUUCCCCUAGAUUAGAUUUAUGCGGAGCUCGGGCGGAGCUCUGCAGGAAUAGAUCAUCACCGACACCGGCGCGUCGUCACGCAGCCGAAGAACUCAUCUACUUCUCCGUCUUGCUUGCUGGAUCAAGAAGGCCAAGAUCGUCAUCGAGUUGUACGUGUGCUGAACGCGGAGGUGCCGCCCGUUCGGCGCUAGAUCGGGAUUGAUCGUGGGAUGGAUCGCGAGACGGUUCGUGGGACGGUUCGAGGGACGGAUCAUGAAGACGUACCACUACAUCAACCGCAUUUCUUAACGCUUCCCGCUGAGCAAUCUACAAGGGUACGUAGAUCUAAUCUCCUCUCAUAGAUGGACAUCACCAUGAUAGGUCUUCGUGUGCGUAGGAAUUUUUUUGUUUCCCAUGCAACGUUCCCCAACAGUGGCAUCACGAGCUAGGUUCAGGCGUAGAUGUUAUCUCGAGUAGAACACAAAAGGUUUUGUGGACGGUGAUGUUUGAUUUGCUGCCCUCCUUAGUCUUUUCUUGAUUCGGUGGUAUUAUUGAAUUGAAGCGGUCCGGACCGACAUAACUCGUACGCUUACGAGAGACUGGUUUCAUCAACUGACAUGCAACCUCGUUGCAUAAAGAUGACUAGCGGGUGCCUGUUUCUUCAACUUUAGUUGAAUUGGUUUUGACCGAGGCGGUCCUUGGAGAGAGGUUAAAUAGCAAUUUGCACAUCUUUGUUGUGGUUUUUGCGUAAGUAAGAUAAGAUCAUACUAGAUACCCAUAGCAGCCACGUAAAACAUGCAUCAAUAAAUUAGAGGACGUCUAACUUGUUUUUGCACGGUAUGCUUGUGAUAUUAUAUGACCAAUGACGUGUUGUGAUAUUUUGGAUGUAUGAGAUGACCAUGCUGUAAUAGUUAAUAUCGACUUGCGCGUCGAUGCUACAGCAACCGGCAGGAGCCACAGGGUUGUCUUUAAACUAACGUUUGUGUUUGCAGAUGCGUUUACUAUAUUGCUAGGUCGUAGCUUUAGUAGUAAUAGCAUAUAUAGCACGACAACCUCGAUGGCAGCACGAUGAUGGAGAUCAUGGUGUGGCACCGGUGACAAGAAGAUCAUGUCAGUGCUUUGGUGAUGGAGAUCAAGAAACACAAGAUGAUGGCCAUAUCAUGUCACUUAUGAAUUGCAUGUGAUGUUAAUCCUUUUAUGCACCUUAUUUUUCUUAGAACGGCGGUAGCAUUAUAAGGUAAUCUCUCACUAAAAUUUCAAGAUGAAAUUGUGUUCUCCCCGACUGUGCACCGUUGCGACAGUUCAUCGUUUCGAGACACAACGUGAUGAUCGGGUGUGACAGACUCAACGUUCACAUACAACGGGUGCAAAACAGUUGCACACACGAAACACUCGGGUUAAACUUGACGAGCCUAGCAUGUGCAGACAUGGCCUCGGAACACAAGAGACCGAAAGGUCGAGCAUGAAUCGUAUAGUUGAUAUGAUUAGCAUAGAGAUGCUUACCACUGAAACUAUUCUCAAAUCACGUGAUGAUCGGACUUGAGUUAGUGAAUUUGGAUCAUGUACUACACAAAUGACUAGAGAGAUGUACUUUUUGAGUGGGAGUUUAUUAAGUAAUUUGAUUAGUUAAACUCUAAUUAUCAUGAACAUAGUCAAAAGGUCUUUGCGAAUUAUGAUGUAGCUUGCGCUAUAACUCUACUGUUUUUUAUAUGUUCCUAGAGAAAAUUUAGUUGGAAGAUGAUAGUAGCAACUUUGCAGAAUUAGUCCGUAAAACCGAGGAUUGUCCUCAUUGUUGGGCAGAAGGCUUAUGUCCUUAAUGCACCACUCGGUGUGCUGCACCUCGAGCGUCGUUUGUGGAUGUUGCGAACAUCUGACAUACACGUUUUUGAUGACUACGUGAUAGUUCAGUGCGUAAUACUUAAUGGCUUAGAAGCAAGGCACCAAUGACAUUUUGAAACGUCACGGAACAUAAGUGAUGUUCUAAGAGAUGAAAUUGAGAUUUCAUGCUCGUGCCCAUGUUGAGAGGUAUGAGACCUCCGACAAGAUUCUUUGUCUACAAAGUAAAGGAGAAAAGCUCAAUCGUUGAGCAUAUGCUCAGAUUGUCUGAGUAGAACAAUCGCUUGAAUCAAGUGGGAGUUAAUCUUCCAGAUGAGAUAGUGAUGGUUCUCCAAAGUCACUGCCACCAAGCUGCUAGAGCUUCGUGAUGAACUAUAACAUAUCGAGAAUAGAUAUGAUGAUCCUUAAGCGAUUCGCAAUGUUUGACACUGCGAAUGUAGAAAUCAAGAAGGAGCAUAAAUUGUUGAUGGUUAUUAAAACCACUAGUUUCAAGAAGGGCAAGGGCUAGAAGGGAUACUUCAUGAAACGGCAAACCAAUUGCUGCUCUAAAGAAACCCAAGAUUGAACCCAAACCCGAGACUAAGUGCUUAUGUUACGAGGGGAACGGUCACUAAGGUGGAGCUACCCUAGAUGCUUGGUAGAUAAGAAGGCUAGCAAACUCAACCUAAGUAUAUUUGAUAUACAUGAUAUAGAUGUGUACUUUACUAGUACUCCUAGUAGCACGAUGGUAUUGGAUACCGGUUCGGUUGCUAAGUGAUUAGUAACUCGAAAUGAAAGCCACGGAAUAAACGGAGACUAGCUAAAGGUGAGGUGAUGAUACGUGUUGGAAGUGUUUCCAAGGUUGAUGUGAUCAAAACAUCACACGCUCCAUCUAUCAUCGGGAUUGGUGUUAAACCUAAGUAAUUGUCAUUUGGUGUUUCCGUUGAGCAUGAACAUGAUUGGAUCGUGUUUAUUGCAAUACGAUUAUUCAUUUAAAGAAAAUAAUAGUUAUUCUAUUUGCUUGAAUAAUUACCCUCAAUGGUUUAUUGAAUCUCGAUCGUAGUGUUACACAUGUUCAUAAUAUUGGUGCCAAAAGAUACAAAGUAAUAAUGAUAGUACCACUUACUUGUGGCACUGCCACUUGAGUCAUGUUGGUGUAAAAUGCAUGAAGAAACUCCAUGCUGAUGGAUCUUUGUACUCACUCAUUUUUGAAACGUUUGAGACAUGCAAACCACACCUGUUGGUAUAAACGCAUGAAGAAACUCCAUGCGGAUGGAUCGUUUGGAUUCACUUGAUUUUGAAUCACUUGAGACAUGCAAAAUCAUACCACAUGGAACAAGAAAGUAACUUGUUGGAAGCAAUGCAUUUUGAUGUAUGCAGUCCAAUGAGUGCUGAGGCACGCAGUGGAUAUCGUUAUCUUCUUACUUCACUGAUGAUUUGAGUAGACACAGGAGUAUUUACUUGAUGAAUCACAAGUCUGAAAUAUUGAAAAGUUCAAAGCUAUUUCACAGUGAAGAUCGUCGUGACAAGAGGAUAAACUGUCUACGAUAUGAUCAUAGAGAUGAAUAUCUGAGUUGCGAGUUUUGGUACACAGUUAAGACAAUGUGGAAAUUGUUUCGCAAAUCAUGCCACCUAGAACACCAUAGUGUGAUGGUGUGUCCAAACGUCAUAGCCGCACCCUAUUGGAUAUAGCACAUACUGUGAUGUCUCUUAUCGAAUUACCACUAUCGUUUAUGGGUUAUGCAUUAGAUACAACCGCAUUCACUUUAAAUAGGGCACCACGUAUUUCUGUUGAGAUGACACAGUAUAGACUAUGGUUUGGAGAAACCUAAGUUGUCGUUUCUUAAAAGUUUGGGGCUGCGAUGCUUAUGUGAAAAGGUUUCAGUCUGAUAAGCUCAAACCCAAAGAGGAUAAAUGCAUCUUCAAAGGAUAUCCAAAAUAGUUGGGUACAUCUCCUAUCUCAGAUCCAGAAGCGAAGUGUUUGUUUCUAGAAAUGGGUCCUUUCUCGAGGAAAGGUUUCUCUCGAAAGAAUUGAGUGGGAGGGUGGUGGAACUUGAUGAGGUUAUUGAACCGUCACUUCAACUAGUGUGUGGCAGGGUGCAUGAAGUUGUUCCUGUCGGGCCUACACCAAUUGAAGUAGAAACUGAUGAUGGUGAUCAUUAAGCUUCGGAUCAAGUUACUACAAACCUCGUAGGUCGACAAGGUCGCGUACUACUACAGAGUGGUAUGGUAACCCUGUCUUGGAGGUCAUGUUGUUGAACAACAAUGAACCUACGAGCUAUGGAGAAGUGAUGGUGGGCCCAGAUUCUGACAAAUAGCUGGAGGCCAUGAAAUCAAGAGAGGAUCCAUGUAUGAAAAUGAAGUGUAGACUUUGGGAGAACUACUUGAUGGUCGUAAGACUAUUAAGUAAAGAUGGAUAUUUAAAAGGAAGACACACGAUGAUGGUGAAAAGUCACCAUUAAGAAAAGCUCAACUUUUCGCAAAGAUGUUUCCGACAAAGUUCAAAGAGUUGACUAUGAUGAGACUUUCUCACUCGUAGCGAUGCUAAAAGUCUGUUGGAAUUAUGUUAGCAAAUGAUGCAUUGUUUGUAAUAUAUUGCACAUAGGAUGUCAAAACAUUGUUUCCUCGACGGUUUCCUUGAGGAAAGGUUGUAUGUGAUGCAACCAGAAGGUUUUGUUAAUCCUAAGGAUGCUAACUAGUAUGCAAGCUCCAGCGAUCCUUCUAUGGGCCGGUGCAAGUAUCUCGGAGUUGGAAUAUAUGCUGUGAUGAGAUGAUCAAAGCUUUUGGGUUUGUACAAGGUUUAUGAGAAACUUGUAUUUUCAAAGAAGUGAGUGGGAGCACUAUAGAAUUUCUGAUAAGUAUAUGUGGUUGACAUAUUGUUGAUCGGAAGUAAUGUAGAAUUUCUCUAAAGCAUAAAGGGUUGUUUGAUAGGAGUUUUUCAAAGGAAGACCUGGAUAGAGCUACUUGAACUUUGAGCAUCAAGAUCUAUAGAGAUAUAUCAAAACACUAAAUAGAAUUUUCAAUGUAAUGCAUGCCUUGACAGGUUUUUGAAGGAGUUCAAAAUAGAUCAGUAAAGGAGUUCUUGAUUGUGUUGUAAGGUGUGAAUUUGAGUAAGACUCAAAGCCCGACCACGACAGAAUAAAGAGAAUGGAUGAAGGUCGUCUUCUAUGCCUUAGUCGUAGACUCUAAAGUAUGCCAUGCUGUGUACCGCACCUGAUGUGUGCCUUGCCACAAGUCUGUUAAGAGGUACAGAGAGUGAUCCAGGAUUGAAUCACUAAACAACGAUCAAAGUUAUCCUUAGUAACUAAUGGACUAAGGAAUUUUUCUCGACUAUGGAGGUGAUUAAAGAGUUUGUUGUAAAGGGUUACAUCGAUGCAAGCUUUGACACUAAUCCAAAUAACUCGGAGUAGUAAAACGGAUUUGUAUAGUAGAGUAGAUAUUUGGAGUAUUUCCGAAUAGCACGUAGUAGCAGCAUCUAUAAGAUGACAUAAAGAUUUGUAAAGCACACACGGAUCUGAAAGAUUCAGAAUCAUUGACUAAAACCUCUCUCACGAGCAAGACGUGAUCAAACCUCAGAACUAUGUGGGUGUUGGAUUCGUUAAAAUUACAUGGUGAUGUGAACUAGAUUAUUCACUCUAGUGCAAGUGGGAGACUGUUGGAAAUAUGCCCUAGAGGCAAUAAUUAAUUAGUUAUUAUUAUAUCUAUUUGUUCAUGAUAAUCGUUUAUUAUUCAUGCUAUAAUUGUAUUGACUGGAAACACAACUACAUGUGUGGAUACAUAGACAAAACACUGUCCCUAGUAAGCCUCUAGUUGACUAGCUCGUUGAUCAAAGAUGGUCAUGGUUUUCUGACCAUAGACAAGUGUCGUCAAUUGACAACGGGAUCACAUCAUUAGGAGAAUCAUGUGAUGGACUAGACCCAAACUAUGAACGUAGCAUAUUGAUCGUGUCAUUUUAUUGUUAUUGUUUUCUGCAUGUCAAGUAUUUAUUCCUAUGACCAUGAGAUCAUAUAACUCACUCGCACCAGAGAAAUACCUUGUGUGUAUCAAACGUCGCAACGUAACUGGGUGACUAUAAAGGUGCUCUACAGGUAUCUCCGAAGGUGUCCGUUGAGUUAGUAUGGAUCAAGACUGGGAUUUGUCACUCCGUGUGACGGAGAGGUAUCUCGGGGCCCACUCGAUAAAACAACAUAACGCACAAGCCUUGUAAGAAAUGUGACUAAAUGUAAGUCACGUGAUCUUGUAUUAUAGAAUGAUUAAAGAGACUUGCGAGUAACGAGAUUGAAAUAGGUAUACGGAUACCGACGAUCGAAUCUCGGGCAAGUAACAUACCGAAGCACAAAGGAAAUGACAUACGGGAUUAUAUGAAUCCUUGGCACAGAGGUUCAACCGAUAAGAUCUUCGUAGAAUAUGUAGGAUCCAAUAUGGGCAUCCAGGUCCCGCUAUUGGAUAUUGACUGAGAAGUGUCUCGGGUCAUGUCUACAUAGUUCUCGAACCCGCAGGGUCUCCACACUUAAGGUUCGAUGAUGUUUUAGUAUAGUAGAGUUAUAUGUGUUGGUGAGUGAAGGUUGUUCGGAGUCUCGGAUGAGAUCACGGACAUCACGAGGGUUUCUGGAAUGGUCCGAAAAUGAAGAUUGAUAUAUAGGAAGUUGGUGUCUGGAUUCCGGAAAGUUUUCGGGCAUUGCUCGCAGUGUACGGGGAAUGAUGAAUGGGUUUCGGGGGCCACUAGGUGGGCCCACCACGCCCCAAGGGGUCACAUGGGUUCAUUGGAUGUAAAAUAAGGUAUAAUGGGCUGACAGAGUCAUCCAAGGAAAGCCCAUGAGGAAAAAGUGGAAAAUCCAAAAGAGGUGGGAAAAUAAGGAAGGAGUCAUAAUCCAAUUGGGAUUGGAGAAGGACUCCUCCCUUCCCCAAGUCGGCCGACCCAAGGAGGCCUCCUUGGCCGGUGCCCUAGGGCUUUUCCCCGCCCCUUGGCUCCUCGUAUAUAUACUAGAGGUUUAGGGCUGUUUGGAGACACAACUUUGCCACAUGCAAGUGAAACCUACACCUCACAGUUCUUCCUCUAGAUUAGAUUUCUGCGGAGCUCGGGCGGAGUCGUGCAGGAAUAGAUCAUCACCAACACUGGCGCGUCGUCAUGCUGCCGAAGAACACAUCUACUUUUCCAUCUUGCUUGCUGGAUCGAGAAGGCCGAGAUCGUCAUCGAGUUGUACGUGUGCUAAAUGCGGAGGUGCCGUCCGUUCGGCGCUAGAUCGGGAUGGAUCAUGGGAUGGAUUGCGAGACGGUUCGUGGGACGGAUCGUGGGACGGUUCGAGGGACGGAUCGUGAAGACGUACCACUACAUCAACCGCGUUUCUUAACGCUUCCCGCUGAGCAAUCUACAAGGGUACAUAGAUCUAAUCUCCUCUCAUAGAUGGACAUCACCAUGAUAGGUCUUCGUGUGCGUAGGAAUUUUUUUGUUUCCCAUGCAACGUUCCCCAACACGAAAGUGUAUGUUCGGUUCUACGAAUCGAGACUGGGAUUUGUAACUCAGUGUGACAGAGAGGUAUCUUUGGGCCCACUUGGUAAUCCAUCAUCAUAUUGAGCUCAUUGUGACUAAGGAGUUAGCUACGGGAUGAUGUGUUACAGAACGAGUAAAGAGACUUGCCGGUAACAAGAUUGAACAAGGUAUGGGGAUACCAACGAUCGAAUCUCGGGCAAGUAUCGUACCGGUAGACAAAGGGAAUUGCAUAGGGAUUGACUGAAUCAUUAACAUCGUGGUUCAUCUGAUGAGAUUAUCGUGGAACAUGUGGGAACCAGCAUGGAUAUCCAGACCCCGCUGUUGGUUAUUGACCAGAGAGAUGUCUCGGUCAUGUCUUCAUAUCUCCCGAACCCGUAGGGUCUACACACUUAAGGUUUGAUGAAGCUAGGGUUAUAGGGAAAAAGUGUACGUGGUUACCAAAGGUUGUUUGGAGUCCCGGAUGAGAUGUCGGACGUCAGAGGAGCUCCGAAAUGGUCCGGAGGUAAAGAUUGAUAUAUAGGAAGUCCUGUUUUGGUCACCGGAUAAGUUUUGGGCUCAUCGGUAGUGUAUCGGGAGUGCGAGGAGGUUGCAGAAGGACCCCCGGGAGGGGUGUGACGACCAAAGGAGUUCAUGGGCUGUUAGAGGAGGUGGACCAACCCUUAUUGGGCUGGCCAAGGCCUUCCCUAAAGGCCCAUGCAGCUAGGGAUAAAGGAAAUAAGGCAAAAGGGGUUUGAAAGGAAGGGAUCCACCUCCCUUGUGGGAGGUGGACUCCUCCCCUAGUUCGGCCGAACCUCUCCUCCUUAGAGGAGGGGCCAAGGCAACCCUCCCUCUCCCUCCUCAUAUAUAUACUUGAGGUUUUGGCCCUUUUGAGACAGACAAUUGAUCUCUCCCAAGGCGCAGCCCUAUCUCUCUCUUCUUCCUCCUCUGCAACGCUUGGCGAAGUCCUGCCGGGGAACCACAUAGCUCCACCAUCACCAUGCCGCCAUGUUGCCAGAUCUCUCCCUCAACUUCUCCUCUCUCCUUGCUGGAUCAAGAAGGAGGAGACAUCGCCGGGCUAUACGUGUGUUGAACGCGGAGGCACCAUCGUUUGGUGCAUAGAUCGGAAUCUUCCGCGAUCUGAAUUGCGGCGAGUACGACUCCAUCAACCGCAUCCUAGUAACGCUUCCGCUUAGCGAUCUUAAAAGGUAUGAAGAUGCUCUACAUCCUCUCUUGUUGCUGAUUUCUCCAUAGAUAGACCUUGCAUGGCGUAGGAAUUUUUUUGAAAUUACUACGGUCCCCAACAGUGGCAUCCGAGCCAAGGUUCUAUGCAUUGAUUCUAUGCACGAGUAGAACACAAAAGUUGUGGGCGUUGAUUUUGUAAAUUGCUUGCCGUUACUAGUCUUAUCUUGAUUUGGCAGCAUCGUGGGAUGAAGCGGCCCGGACCGACUUUACACGUAUCUUACAUGACACUAGUUCCACUGACCGACAUGCACUAGUUGCAUAAGGUGGCUAGCGGGUGUCUGUCUCUCCCACUUUAGUCGGAUCGGAUUCGAUGAAGAGGGUCCUUAUGAAGGGUAAAUAGCAUGGGCAUAUCAACAUUGUGGUUGUCACGUAGGUGAGAAACCCUAACCAGCCACGUAAAACUUGCAACGACAAUUAGAGGACGUCUAACUUGUUUUUGUAGGGUACGCUAUGUGAUGUGAUAUGGCCAAAAGGAUGUGAUGUUACAUAUGUGAUGUAUGAGAUUGAUCAUGUUCUUGUAAUAAGAUUCACGACUUGCAUUUCGAUGAGUAUGACAACCGACAGGAGCCAUAGGAGUUGUCUUAAUUUAUUGUAUGAGAUGCAGUGCCAUGUUGAUUACUUUACAUUAUCGCUAACGGUUAUCUAUAGUAGUAGAAGUAAUAGUUGGCGUGACGACUUCGCGAUGACAUAAUGAAGGAGAUCAUGAUGAUGGGGAUCAUGGUGUCAGGCCGGUGACGAUGAUGAUCAUGGUGCCCCGAAGAUGGUGAUCAAAGGAGCAAGAUGAUAUUGGCCAUAUAAUGUCACUAUAUGAUUGCAUGUGAUGUUUAUCAUGUGUUUACAUCUUAUUGCUUAGAAUGACGGUAGCAAAGAUAAGAUGAUACCUCAUAAAAUUUCGAGAUAUGUAUUCCCCUAAGUGUGCACCAUUACGAAGGUUCGUUGUUUCGAAGCACCACGUGUUGAUCGGGUGUGAUAGAUUCUAACGUUCGCAUACAACGAGUGUAAGCCAGUUUACACACGCAGAACACUUAGGUUGACUCAACGAGCCUAGCAUGUACAGACAUGGCCUCGAAUAUCGGUAGACCGAAAGAUCGAACAUGAGUCGUAUGGUUGAUACGAUCAUCAUAGAGAUGCUCACCAUUGAUGACUAGUCCGUCUCACGUGAUGAUCGAACACGGGCUAGUCGACGUUGAUCAUGUGUCACUUGGAUGACUAGAGGGAUGUCAAUCUAAGUGGGAGUUCAUUAGUAAUUUGAUUAGAUGAACUUAAUUAUCAGGAACGUAGUCUAAAAGUGUCUUUACAAAUAUUGUAGAUCUAAUGGACAACGCAGAUGUCUCAUUCAACUUCAACGCGUUCCUAGAGAAAACCAAGCUAAAAGGCGAUGGGAGAAACUAUGCGGAUUGGGCUCGUAACUUAAAGCUCAUCCUCAGUGUUGCCAAGAAGGCAUAUGUCCUUACUGCACCGCUAGGUGAUCCUCCCGUUCCCGCGGUAGACCAGGACGCUAGGAACGUCUGGCAGUCACGGAGUGAUGACUACUCUCUCGUUCAGUGUGGCAUGCUUUACAGUUUAGAACCGGGGCUCCAAAGGCGUUUUGAGCAACACAGAGCAUAUGAGAUGUUCGAGGAGAUGAAACUUGUUUUUCAAGAUCAUGCCCGGGUCGAGAGAUAUGUAGUCUCCGACAAGUUUUUUAGCUGUAAGAUGGAGGAGAAUAGUUCUGUGAGUGAGCACAUACUCAGAAUGUCUCGGUUGUACAACCGCCUGACUCAGCUGGGAGUUGAACUUCCGGAUGAUGCGGUCAUUGACAGAAUCCUCCAGUCGCUUCCACCUAGCUAUAAAGGCUUUGUGAUGAAUUACAACAUGCAAGGGAUGGAAAAGACUAUUCCCGAGUUGUAUUCAAUGUUGAAAUAUGCAGAGGUAGAAAUCAAGAAAGAGCAUCAAGUGUUGAUGGUCAAUAAGACCACCAUUUUCAAGAAGGGCAAGUGUAAGAAAAACUUCAAGAAAGACGGCAAAACAGUUGCCGCACCCGGUAAGCCAGUUGCCGGGAAGAAGCCAAAGAAAGGACCUAAGCGUGACGCUGAGUGUUAUUACUGCAACGGAACCGGUCACUGGAAGCGGAAUUUCCCCAAGUACUUAGCGGACAAGAAGGCCGGCAACGUCAAAGGUAUAUGUGAUAUACUUGUUAUUGAUGUGUACCUUACCAGCGCUCGUAGUAGCUCCUGGGUAUUUGAUACCGGUGAUGUUGCUCACAUUUGCAACUCUAAGCACGAACCGCGGAACAAGCGUAGGCUGGCUAAGGACAAGGUGACGAUGCGCAUCGGGAAUGGUUCCAAGGUCGAUGUGAUCGUCGUCGGCAUGCUACCUCUACAUCUACCUUCGGGGUUAGUUAUAAACCUUAAUAAUUGUUAUUUAGUACCAGCUUUAAGCUUGAACAUUGUAUCAGGAUCUCGCUUGAUGCAAGAUGGCUACUCAUUUAAAUCUGAGAAUAAUGGUUGUUCUAUUUAUAUGAGUGGUAUGUUUUAUGGUCAUGCCCCGCUGGCAAAUGGUUUAUUCCUGAUUAAUCUCGACUGUGAUGAUACACAUGUUCAUAGUGUGAGUGCUAAAAUAUGCAAGGUUGAUAAUGGUAGUCCCACAUACUUGUGGCACUGCCGCCUUGGUCAUAUCGGUGUAAAGCGCAUGAAGAAACUCCAUACCGAUGGACUUUUGGAGUGUGUUGAUUUUGAAUCAUUUGACACAUGCGAGCCGUGCCUCAUGGGCAAGAUGACCAAGACACCAUUCUCCAGAAUAAUGGAGCGAGCGACCAACUUAUUGGAAAUAAUACAUACCGAUGUAUGCGGUCCAAUGAGCGUUGAAGCUCGCGGAGGCUAUCGUUAUGUUCUCACCCUCACUAAUGAUUUGAGUAGAUAUGGGUAUGUCUACUUAGUGAAGAACAAGUCUGAAACCUUUGAAAAGUUCAAGGAAUUUCAGAAUGAGGUGGAGAAUCAACGUGACAAUAAAAUAAAGUUCUUACGAUCCAAUCGUGGAGGAGAAUAUUUGAGUCACGAGUUUGGAACACACCUAAGGAAAUGUGUAAUUGUUUCACAACUCAUGCCGCCUAGCACACCGUAGCGUUACGGUGUGUUUGAACAUCGUAAUCGCACUCUAUUAGAUAUGGCACGAUCUAUGAUGUCUCUUACCGAUUUACCGCUAUCAUUUUGGGGCUAUGCAUUGGAAACUGUUGCAUUCACUUUAAAUAGGGCACCGUCUAAAUCCGUUGAGACGACACCGUAUGAAUUAUGGUUUGGCAAGAAACAUAAGCUGUCGUUUCUGAAAGUUUGGGGCUGCGAUGCUUAUGUGAAGAAACUUCAACAAGAGAAGCUCGAACCCAUAGCGGAAAAAUGCGUCUUCAUAGGAUACCCUAAGGAAACUAUUGGGUACACCUUCUAUCUUAGAUCCGAAGGCAAGAUUUUUGUUGCUAGGAACGGAUCCUAUCUAGAGAAAGAGUUUCCCUCGAAAGAAGUAAGUGGGAGGAAAAUAUAACUUGAUGAGGUAAUUGUACCUCCUCUCGAACCGGAGAGUAGCGCGGCGCAAGAAAAUGUUUGUGAGGCGCCUGCACCGUCUAGAGAUGAAGUUAAUGAUGAUGAUCAUGACACUUCGGAUCAAGUUGCAAUUGAACCUCGAAGGUCGACAAGGGUACGUUCCGCACGAGAAUGGUACAACAACCCUAUCAUGGAAAUCAUGUUGUUGGACAACAGUGAACCUUCGAACUAUGAACAAACGAUGGCGGGCCCGGAUUCCAACAAAUGGCUAGAGGCCAUGAAAUCCGAGAUAGGAUCCAUGUAUGAGAACAAAGUAUGGACUUUGGUGGACCGCCCGAUGAUCGGUGAGCCAUAGAAAAUAAAUGGAUCUUCAAGAAGAAGACUGACGCGGAUGGUAAUGUGACCAUCUAUAAGGCUCGACUUGUCGCUAAGGGUAUCGACAAGUUCAAGGGAUUGACUACGAUGAGACCUUCUCACCCGUAGCGAUGCUGAAGUCGGUCUGAAUCAUAUUAGCAAUUGCCGCAUUUUAUGAUUAUGAAAUCUGGCAAAUGGACGUCAAAACAGCAUUCCUCAACGGCUUUCUUGAAGAAGAAUUGUAUAUGAUACAACCGCAAGGUUUUGUCGAUCCUAGCAAUGCUAACAAGGUAUGCAAGUUCCAACGCUUCAUCUAUGGGCUGGUGCAAGCAUCUUGGAGUUGGAACAUUCGCUUUGAUGAGGUGAUCAAAGCAUUUGGGUUUAUACAGACUUAUGGAGAAGCCUGUAUUUACAAGAAAGUGAGUGGGAGCUCUGUAGCAUUUCUCAUAUUAUAUGUGGAUGACAUAUUGUUGAUGGAAAUGAUAUAGAAAUAUUGGAAAGCAUAAAGGCCUAUUUGAAUAAGAGUUUUUCAAUGAAGGACCUUGGAGAAGCUGCUUACAUAUUAGGCAUCAAGAUCUAUAGAGAUAGAUCGAGACGCCUCAUAGGUAUUUCAGAAAGCACAUACCUUGACAAGAUAUUGAAGAAGUUCAAUAUGGAGAAGGCUAAGAAGGGGCUCUUGCCUGUAUUGCAAGGUGUGAGGUUGAGUGCCACUCAACGACCGACCACGACAGAAGAUAUAGAGAAGAUGAGUACCAUCCCCUAUGCUUCAGCCAUAGGCUCUAUUAUGUAUUGCAUGUUGUGUACCAGACCUGAUGUGAACCUUGCCAUAAGUUUGGUAGGGAGGUACCAGAGUGAUCCAGGAGUGGAUCACUGGACAAUGGUCAAGAAUAUCCUAAAGUACCUGAAAAGGACUAAAGAUAUGUUUCUCGUUUAUGGAGGUGCCAAAGAGCUCUUCGUAAAGGGUUACGUCGAUGCUAGCUUCAACACAGAUCCGGAUGACUCAAGGUCACAAACCGGAUACAUGUACAUUUUGAAUAAUGGGAUAGUUAGCUGGUGCUGUUGCAAGCAAAGCGUCGUGGCGGCAUCUACAUGUGAAGCGGAGUACAUCGCUGCUUCAGAAGCAGCACAGGAAAGAGUCUGGAUGAAGGAGUUCAUCACCGACCUAGGAGUGGUUCCAAGUGCGUCAGGCCCGAUGACUCUGUUGUGUGACAACACUGGAGCUAUUGCCAUUGCAAAGGAGCCCAGGUUUCACAAGAACACCAAGCUCAUCAAGCACCGCUUCAACUCCAUUCGUGGAUACACCCAGGAUGGAGAUAUAGAUAUUUGUAAAGUACAUACGGAUCUGAAUGUCGCAGACCCAUUGACUAAACCUCUUCCACGAGCGAAACAUGAUUAGAACCAGAACUCUAUGGGUGUUCGAUUCAUCACAAUGUAACUAGAUUAUUGGCUCUAGUGCAAGUGGGAGACUAUUGGAAAUAUGCCCUAGAGGCAAUAAUAAAGUGGUUUUUAUUAUGUUUCCUAGUUCAUGAUAAAUUGUCUAUUGUUCAUGCUAUAAUUGUAUUAACCGGAAACCGUAAUACAUGUGUGAAUAUAUAGAUAACAAUGUGUCCCUAGUGAGCCUCUAGUUGGCUAGCUCGUUGAUCAAUAAAUCAUCAUAGUUUCCUAAUCAUGGACAUUGGAUGUCAUUGAUAAUGGGAUCACAUCAUUGGGGAAUGAUGUGAUGGACAAGACCCAAUCCUAAGCAUAGCACUAGACCGUGUUGUCCGUCUGCUAAAGCUUUUCUAAUGUCAAGUAUGAUUUCCUUGUACAACUCCCGGAUACCAUAGGAGUGCUUUGGGUGUAUCAAACGUCACAGUGUAACUAGGUGAUUAUAAAGGUGCACUACGGGUAUCUCCGAAAGUGUUUGUUGGGUUAUACGAAUCGAGAUUGGGAUUUGUCACUCCGUGUGACGGAGAGGUAUCUGUGGGCCCACUUGGUAAUCCAUCAUCAUAUGGACCUCAGUGUGACUAAGGAAUUAGCCACGAGAUGAUGUGUUACGGAACGAGUAAAGAGACUUGCCAGUAACGAGAUUGAACAAGGUAUGGGGAUACCGAUGAUCGAAUCUCGGGCAAGUAUCAUAUCGGUAGACAAAGGGAAUUGCAUACGGGAUUGAUUGAAUCCUCGACAUCGUGGUUCAUCCGAUGAGAUCAUCAUCGAACAUGUGGGAACCAACAUGGAUAUCCAGACCCCGCUGUUGGUUAUUGACCGGAGAGGUGUCUCGGUCAUGUCUGCAUGUCUCCCGAACCCGUAGGGUCUACACACUUAAGGUUCGAUGACGCUAGGGUUAUAGGGAAAUAGUGUACGUGGUUACCGAAGGUUGUUCGGAGUCCUGGAUGAGAUCUCGGAUGUCACGAGGAGCUCCGAAAUGGUCUGGAGGUAAAGAUUGAUAUAUAGGAUGUCCUCUUUUGGUCACCGGAAAAGUUUCGGGCUCAUCGGUAGUGUGCCGGGAGUGCCAGGAGGGUGUCGGAGGACCCCCAGGAGGGGUGUGACGACCAAAGGAGUUCAGGGGUAGCUACACUUCACCAGUAGUGAUCAAAGUUAACAAGAUUAAGUUUGAUGCAAAAAUAGGAUGCUCCACCAAAUUUGAGCUUCACUGGACAAGUUUGGCAGUGCAAACUUGAAAUCAUCCCCAAAUGGCCAGAUCUGUCCCUUCUAAAGGGAAUGUGGGUAGAUUAAUCCCUACAAAUCCCAUUUUUGGCAUAGGCUCCUUAUUUUGUAUGUUGAGCACUCCUGCAAAGUUUCAAGCCAUCUGAACAAACUUUGACAUGUAGAGUUGCUCCAACUUGAUUCUGGACACAAAGGGUUUUAGGAUUAUUUGUUGAACCAAACCACCUUUAAAUGAGGUGAAACUUGUCAUGGCCACCAAAUAUAGCUUGGGGAGACUGCUGAAAUUUUAUAGGAAUUUAUUGGAAAUAUUUUCUUUGGAAAUAUUUCAAAAGGUGAAAACAAACAAAAUAGGUUUUCAGGAAUUUGCCCAAAUAAUUUGAACAUAAAUAGGGAUUUAAAAUCUUAUGUAUGGAAAAUAUAUGUCUUGUGAGUAUCUCCAAAUUUUCUCACAUUUUUCUGAGGCAGUAAAAUAAUAUUUCAUACAGAAAUGUCAUUUUUGUCCUCAGAAAUGGACAUGCAAAUAAAAUAGGAAAAUAUUUUAUGAAAUAAUUAUUUUAUGAUAUUGGAGAGUAAAAAUAGUUCUAAAACCAGAUUAUCAUCUUUGGGUAAAGGCACUCCCUUGACAUUAGGGACUUGUAGUGCAAACCCAAAGCAAGGUUUUCAAAUAAUAAAAAUGAGAAGAAGGUUUUUAUGAAAUAGUCAUGUUGUAAAAGCUAGUUUUGGGGUCACUCAAUCAAUCAUACACACAAUCAAUGACAAUCAUGGCACUCAUAUCAUUUGUUUUUUUAAUAAAUUCAUAUUUUGAAAACUACAGUUGAAGCGAGGUAAAAACAUGGUGUGAUAGUGUGGGACUAACCCAUGUAGAUGUGGAGAAUAACAAAACAACAAGGAUUGCUCCCAACUCUAGAUGAUCUUCAUCAGCAAUGAGCAUCCACUAUUGCAACAUCUACAUGAAGUCUUGAAUGACAAAACCCAAGGUUAGUUCAUCGCUCUUAGGGGGGGUAUCACAUCUAGGGUGAGCUUUGCUCUAAUACUUGAGCUAAAGCAUCUCUAAUUAUGUGAAUACAUUAAAAGCAUUAUGUAAAAGUUGCAACCCUACUUGAGCUUAGACGAUGAGUAUGACCUAUGAUCAAGUGUUCUCGCUUGGCUCCUAAGUCAGCAUACUCAUAUAUAGAUGAGUUUGUCAUCAACCAUUGCUUGAUAGAUUCUAGAGUGUUUGUGCAUGUUUCACAUAUUUCAUUUGCCAUUUUAAUGUGUGAGAGUCUUGGUAUGCAUGAUUUAUCAUUCAAAGACAUCCAAUUAUAAUUUAUUGGUUUUCACUUUUUUCUCGACAAUUGGAUGUACAAGAAUGCCUAAGUACCCUUUCUAGCUAUAUAUUCUAUCUUGUCUCAAAUCCUUCAUGCUUCAUCACAGAAUUUGAACAAACUAUUUUUCACACCCUUUUGGCGAGGAGCACUCGGAGCCAUCGAUCCUUCUAUGUCUGACUUCUGAAACCUUCUAAGUCUUUUUCGGUGUGACCAAGCUAUAUACAUUCGGUUCCACCGAAGGCAUUUAGACUGAUCUGAUUUCUCACCUCGAUACCACCGGUCAGAAUGUUUUGGCGUCACCGAGUUCCUCUGUCACUCGCAGUUAUGAACUUCAGUGCCACCAAUCCAUUAUUCUUGGUGUCACUAAUAGCACAUGGGUAUAUAUAAUCGCCAAAAUUGUCACAAUCGAGAUUGUGAAUCAGGUCGGAGCUCCGUUGGUAGGAACGUGAAUCACAGAAUCAUAACUAACAAGAUUGUAGAAACUUAGGCUCUAUGAGCAAAAUCAUAGAAUCGGAGGGGCUAGUUUGGAAUGUAAGAUCGUAAGAUUCUAAGACUUGAGUCGUGAUUGUGACAACUUUUAUAAUCUUGGAGAUGGGACUUUGAAUUUUUUUUCAAACCUCCCACUCAUGCACCCCAUUGUUGUUGUCACCUAGGUCUAAAGACGUUUGCCUUUGUCUCCAGCAUGCCCUCGUUACCGAAAUCUGCCGCAGUCAACGAGAAUCUUUGUCGCCCUUACCGUCGUAGAGAGGCUCCGCCAAGUUAGGGUAAAGCCUCAAUCCCCUUUGUGUUCCCCUCCUCAUUUUUGAGAAAAAGGACAUGCCUUACAUCUUGCCACAGUGUGCACAUUCUUAUCCUCUCAGAAAUUCUCGGCUAGUGUUAGGUUUCUGCAAUACGCAACUCGGACCCUCCUACGGAAUUUUUUUGUUAUCAUCAAUGUGGUCUCGGACAUGGCACAAAGGGCUUCUUGGUGAGACCAAGAGGAUCCUAUCAGUGUCACUGAAUACAGAUCUCAGAAGUGUCAUGAGCACUUCAGAGAGACCGGGAAACGUCAUGGUGAAACUGCAAAGACGUUGCCAAGUCUCUGUUGCUGCCUCGGAGCUUUCAAAAUCGAGUACUCGGUGAUUCUGAAUUGCAUAUUGUGAAACCCUAAAACUAAACAUAGAGUUCAAAUAUUUUUGAAAACAUCUAAAUUUUGUGAUGCUCAUCCAUUCCACUCUUGUAUAUCUAAUUCAUAGGGUCUCAGUUCAGCAUGUGUGCUUCAGAUGAUAGUCAGAACAAGUCUAGAGAGCCAAGUGUUGACUUGGAUGUGGGUACCAUCCCUGAGAAGAGCUAUCAUGAGGGAGAAACAAGUUCCCCUAGUUUUCCAAAGGCUGCAACCAAGGCCAAACAGAAGAGAAAUUCAGACGAUUAUGAUGAUGACUUUAAACUACAAAAAGUUACCUCCAAGAAGCAAGCCGAGAGAAAGAGGUGUUGCCAUGAACAUGCAUGAGUCAUCUGCUAUCAAUAGGGGUGUCUUUCUCACUCUGGAGAACCCAGGAGGAUCAAAGGGAACUAAGAUUUUGGCUAAGAAGCCAGAAAAGAACAAAGAAAGGAAGAAGACUGUGCAUGUGACACGCAAAAAGAAUUCUAUUUAUGUGCAUCCAGAAGAACAAGACCAUAAAGAAUUUGCUUCUAACCCUCGUCUUGCAAAGCAAUAGAUGUUAGUGAGAGAUGUUAUGCCAAAAAAACUGCCACUAAGACCAAGACCAAGACUGCCCCCCUGAUACGUCUCCAACGUAUCGAUAAUUUAUGAAGUAUUCAUGCCAUAUUUAACCAAGUUUUCUAUGAUUUUGAUGCACUUUUAUAUUAUUUAAAUGGAACUAGCCCGGACUAACGAUGUUUUUAGCAGAAUUGCCAUGGUGUUGUUUUUGUGUAGAAAAUAAAAGUUCACAGAAUCAAACGAAACUUUUUGGUGACUUUUAUGGAACAAAAGAGGCCCUGAGAGCAUCGGAGGUGUGCUAGGGGGUGGCCAAUGAGGCCACAAGCCCAGGGGUGCCCCCUAUGGUGCGCCCCUCGAGUUUGUUGUUUCCUCGUGGACCCCUGGCGUGAAACCGACACAAGAAAUUCCUAUAAAUCCCAAAAAACAUAAUGAGAAAAGAACUUCCGAACCGCCGCCGCAAGCCUCUAUUUCGAAGCAAUCUUAUAUGCAACACAUUUCUGCCACCCAGUCGGAGGGGGAAAUCAUCAUCGAUGGCCAUCUUCAUCAUUUCGACAAUAUCCAUGUCUAGGAGGGAGUAGCUCACCCCCGGGGCUGAGGGUAUGUACCGAUAGAUAUGUGUUUGAUCUAUCUAUCUCCCUCUAUAUCUCUCUUUCGUUCUUGAGUUGCCACGAUCCCGAUGUAUCACGAGCUUUGUUAAUAUAGUUGAAUGAUAUGGUGUGACCUGGCCACCUCUUAUCUGUCCUAGACUGGGGUUGGAUAUUGAGAGGCGCCGGACAGCCCGGACAUUCGUGGCCGGUUUGAGACGUUUGCGUUGAUCAAAUUUUUUUAGUCAGUUUGUCCGCCCGAAUGUUCGAAACAAGUUUUUUGGGCACCUAAUUGUAGAUGCUCUAAGAGCAUCUAUAGCCGCACAUAGAAAAUAUGACCACCUAAACGCCCGCGAACGCGCCCGGUGAGUGACCGAGCGUGUGCCCUAUUUGUCCGUCCACGCAGCCACACUCCUCAUUUUCUUCCUCAUAUGUCCGAUCACUUGCACAUGAUUGGUUAAGAGGAAUAAAGAUAAAGAAAAGAAUGAAUAAAUAAAAAGACAAGAUGGUCCGGCGUGGGGCCGCAUCGUUCGUGACGGACUGCCCGGGCGUGCCCGGGCGCGUCCAUGAGCCGACAUAUCCUCCCUAUAUUCGUACUCAAUACGAGGGUUCGCGGACAGCCUGAGCCUAUAGGAAUUGUAAGGGCAUUCUCCAGCUUAAGUAUUUUGGUGAUGAUGACAACUCACUAUGUUAUCUAACCGGUUGUCAAGUAUGCAGGUAUCAUUUGUCAAGAUACAAGACGGUUAGGCAUUCCCUUCACACGGAAAUGACCAAAGACAUGGUCCCUUCGUGUUUAAUUUCUUUGGUCAUAGGGAUCCCAUACUAUUAAGAGGGAAUCCACAUUGGAAUACUAUGGGUGAAUUAAUUCUUCUCUAACUCUGUUGCACCCAUCGUGUUUCAUCGCAUCUUGGAGAGAAGAGAAUCCCGGUUUUUCUAUACUGACCGGUUGUACCGGUGUUAUGGGCGGUUGUAUCGCUCAGUGGCUGGGCGGUUGUACCGGCGCUGCACCGGGUCACCACCGGACACGGUUGUGUUUCACUACGGUUAUUGGGUGGUGGUGGCCCGGUUGGACCGUUAUAUUAAAUAUAGCCGAUAUUGCCGGUGUUCCAAGCGGUUAUACCGCUUGGGACUUAGCCACGCCGAGCAACCAUGGCUGGUGACACCCUUGGGGCAACUUCAUGUUUUGGCCCGAUUGUAGGGCGGUGGUCGACUGGUUGUUCCACUAAAAUAGGAACACCGGUUGUACCGGCCAGUGCAAGUUUUGCUGUAAUGGUUAGAAAACUCUUUGUUUAUUAUUGUUGUGUUAGCGUCAUAUAGGUUGCUCACCUAGUUGCAUAUCUAGACAACCUAUUUGUUGCUAAACCUAAUUUGUUUAAAUAAAAUCUUAAAAUUUGUUAGUUGCCUAUUCACCCCCUCUAGUCAACCAUAUCGAUCCUUUCAAUUGGUAUUAGAACCUUGUCUAUUUAUUAAGGGUUUUACCACCCAAAGAGUAUGGUUGACGACGGAACGGGUUGAUAAGGUGCCCGAGGGAGCUGUUGCUAACUCGGUCACACGAGAGUAAUUGAAUGAGGUAAUGUCCACAUUUAAAUCCUCUAUGGCUAUCAAAGUCAAAAACAUGCUUAAGGAUUUCCUUGAUAAUUACAAGUCGUCUAUCGACCAAUUGUUGGCGGCGAAUCCCACAUCUUCGGAUUCGGGAAGCAAUUCCGAAAAGGGAAAUGCUAGUAGUGAAAAGGAUAAACUGCCUGAAGGAACAAUUGUGGCUAAUGCCUUUACCUCUAUUCCUCCUACCUUAGUCUAUGGAGGACCGGUUCACCCACCGCAUAUUAUUAAUCUUUGUCCUCCACCAAAGCUUGUCAAGAAUGAUUUUGCUAACUGGGUUUUCGUAUCAAGUCUCAUUUCAACCACAACUCAACAAAACUUUGGAGAAUCAUUUAGCAGGGAUGCUACCCACAUGAUCCAAGAAAUCUCACACCGAGAGAAGAGGCAGACAGUCAACUCAACCACUCUGCCUUGUUUAUUCUUCAAGCAGUCGUACAUAUUGAAGACCUUCCUCACUUGCGUCCCUUUACACGUGCCAAAGACUGUUGGAGCACAUCAUCUCCGUGUACAAGGGAAGCUCUAGCAUUCAUCGGUUGAUGACGAGUUGAUGGAUAUACUUCUCGCCCCUCCUUCGUUACCCCAAGUGGAAGGUGGAGAUGUAGCGAGCAGCAGAUUUUCCUUACACGGAGACUAUAAGGUUUAUCGAACCAACAUGACUCCUAGGCUCAACAAGUAGGUGUCUUCCACAUGGCGCUAGCAGAAGACAUGGACCUGCACACACAACAAAUAACUUUGCUCCCAACGAGUACAGAGAGGUUUUCAAUCUCUCCGGCCUUGUAGUUUGCAAAGGAUCAAAACACAAAUGGGAAAGUAGUAGUGAUUGCAACGGAAAAGUAAAUGAAAGUGGUAAAUGAUGGAGGUGUAAACAAUGAUGGUGAUAUGGACCGUAGUCACAUGAUGUUCACUAGUGAUGUCUCUCUCCCAAAAGAUGAUAAACAACUAUGCUUGGGUAAACAAAUCACAGUUGGGCAAUUGACAGAAUUAUGAUAGCACCGCAAUGCUAAUUAUGCUACUUGAUAGUUAGAGGUUCAAUACUAAUGGGCACUACGCCAAGGCAAGUAGACCAUUUAUUCAUCAACAUCUAGUUAUUAAUCAUCCACCUUGAGAUAUCUAUCCAGAACAUCUCGUCGGUGUUAAGUUGCGAGCCCCACCCAAAAUGUAAAGUCAAAGCAACGGACAACUGCAUUAACGAACUAUGUGUAAGGUAAACGAUCAUUGCAACUGUGGUUACAACCACCAUUAUUUUCUCCCUGGUGGCAACAAGCACAUCCCCUAGUCUCAUGUUUCUGUCACUCAAGCUAAACAUCGAGGGGCAUGAACCCACAAUCAUGCAUAACGCUCCCUCUUGGAGUUACAAUCUACUACUUGGCAAAAGCAAUGAAUAGCAACGGAGAACAUGCAUGAAUCACUAAGGAACAUAAUAUAAAAGGAUAAUCAAAUAUAUAACUCAUAACAAUCUGAACAUAAUCUCAUAAUCCAUCGGAUCCCAACGAAUCGAGCAUAGCAAUAGCAAGAGAAUUGCAUAGAUGCCUUGAUCAUGUAGGGCAGCUCACAAGGACUAACCAUUGAAGCACAAGAUUGGAGAGAAGACAUCACAUAACUAAUGGUCAUGAACCCAUGGUCCAAGGAGGACUGCUCACGGCACGUACGGGAAGCGUCCAUGGUGGUGGAGAAGCUCCGGAGGUCAAUCCUCCCUCCGGCAGGGUGCCGGGAAGAGGUCUCCUCACGCUUCCGAUCUUGGAAGCGCUGCAGCGCGGAACGAUGGAGAAAUUCGCGAUUCGAGAAAGUCUGCAAGGGUUUCCUCUCGGGACUUUAAAUAUAGGCCGAAGGAGGGCACUGGAGGAGGUGGGACCCAUCCAAGCAGCCUCCUGGCGCGACCUAGGGCCUGGCCGCACGAGCAGGUCGCCUCGGAGGCCCCUGGCCCCUCGUGUGGCCCAUCUUCGGUGAUCCGGAAGCUUCUAUUUCACUGAUUUUCUAUAUAUUUUUUCUGGAAUUUUUCGGGCUUCGGAAAAUUGGGUAAAAGCCCGUGCAAAAUAGACAUCAGCAGACAGAAACUGGCACUAGGUGCACUGAGUUAGUAGGUUAGUCCAAAUAUGUGUAAAAUGAUAUAAAAGUAUAGCAAAACAUAUAACAAUGUCACCCAAAAUAUCAUGGAACACACAGAAAUUAUAGAUACGUUUGGGACGUAUCAACAUCCCCAAGCUUAAUUUCUGCUCGUCCUCGAGUAGAUAAAUGAUAACACAAUAAUUUCUGUGGUGACAUGCUAACACACAUAUAGGAAAUUCAAAGUAAAGCCAGUAAGAUAUGCAAUUCAAGUCAAGACAAUAACAAGCAAGAGCUUAUAUCUAGUAUUGAGUUUAGCAAAGUAAGAACAUAAAGGUGCAAGAGCUCUCGCUAUUCGUGACUCGAAUGUCUCCAAAUGGUGUUUGCGUGCAAGAAGUGGGAGAUGGGUAGAGAUCAUAAAAUAUAUUUUUAAUUGAUAACUCAAUCUACUAAACCUCACACUUAGUGUCCUUCGGAAUCUUAUUUUGACUCAUCCCCAGACCACUAGUCAGGCACAAGUCAAAAUGAUCCUCUCCCUUUCGACUUUGAGCACUCAUGCAAUGGAUGAGCGUAAGCAAGAUAUGUUGGCACUUAUGAUGGCAAAUAGAAUAAUGAUGGGGAAGGAAGACAAAAAGGUGUGAAAGGCUCACAUCAAUGAGGACAACCAUAGGCGAGAGAAAGCCAAAUGAUAGGUAUGAUGUGAGGAGAAGGGAUUGCCAUGUAACGGAUGCACAUAUGAGCUAAGGUAAGCUCUCCAAUGGAACUAGUGGGGGUGCAUACAACUUGUUUGUUGAUGAAGACCUAGAGCUCAUUUGAGCAGGCUCAUCAUUUGAAUAUGCAAACCAAGUUCUAUAGUGUAAGGGUCCCCACAUAGUUAUGCAUGAAUGAUAAUCUCUAUGUAGUACCAAUAUAGCAAUGGAGUACGAGUGUGGAUCUUUCAAAAGGAAUGGUAGUGUUGCCCCCUGAUGUCAGUUGUGCUUCCCUGGCAACGGCGCCAGGAAUAGUCGUGUCGACGGCACCAGGAAUCCUUCUACUACGGCUACGCCUUAAGGGACUUCCUAGGCAAAUAUGCAAAGGAUUUCCCCCGUGGCCUUGGAGCCUUGCGUUGGUGUUCCCUCGAAGCGGAAAGGGUGAUGUAGCACAGCGGUGGUAAGUAUUUCCCUCAGUUUGAGAACCAAGGUAUCGAUCCAGUGGAGGAGUAUCACAAGAGCCUGCACAAACACAAAGAACCUGCUCCCAACGCUAUGAAGGGGUUGCCAAUCCCUUAUAGAUUGUUUGCCAAGUGAGAACUGAAAGCAACAAAGUAACAAAUUAGAGUAAAAGCAAAAGUGGAAACGAUAGAUGUGAAUAGACCCGGCGGGCGUAGUGUUUACUAGUGGCUUCUCNNNNNNNNNNNNNNNNNNNNNNNNNNNNNNNNNNNNNNNNNNNNNNNNNNNNNNNNNNNNNNNNNNNNNNNNNNNNNNNNNNNNNNNNNNNNNNNNNNNNNNNNNNNNNNNNNNNNNNNNNNNNNNNNNNNNNNNNNNNNNNNNNNNNNNNNNNNNNNNNNNNNNNNNNNNNNNNNNNNNNNNNNNNNNNNNNNNNNNNNNNNNNNNNNNNNNNNNNNNNNNNNNNNNNNNNNNNNNNNNNNNNNNNNNNNNNNNNNNNNNNNNNNNNNNNNNNNNNNNNNCACGUCCAAAACAAGUAGACCGAUACUGUCUGCAUCUACUACUAUUACUCCACACGUCGACGCCAUCCAGCAUGCAUCUAGUGUAUUAAGUCCAAGAGAACAGAGUAACGCCUUAAGCAAAAUGACAUGAUGUAGAUGGACAAUCUCAUAUCAACGACAUAGCCCAUCUUGUUACCCUUGAUGGCAACUACUUAAUGUGUGCCUUGCUGCCCCUACUGUCAUUGGGAAAGGUCACCACAUGGUAAGAACCCAAAACCAAGCACGUCUCCCAUUGCAAGAAUCAUAGAUCUAGUUGGCCAAACAAAACCCAAGACUCGGAUAGACUUACAAGGAUAUCAAAUCAUGCAUAUAAGAAAUCAGCAAAUACUCAAAUAUAUAUCAUAGAUAAUCUGAUCACAAAUCCACAAUUCAUCGGAUCUCGACAAACACACCACCAAAGAAGAUUACAUCGGAUAGAUCUCCAUGAAGAUCAUGGAGAACUUUGUAUUGAAGAUCCAAGAUAGAGAAGAAGCCAUCUAGCUACUAACUACGGACCCGUAGGUCUGAAGUGAACUACUCACGAGUCAUUGGAGGGGCGAUGAUGAUGAUGAAGAAGCCCUCCAACUCCAAAGUCCCCUCCGGCAGGGCGCCGGGAAGGGUCUCCAGAUGAGAUCUCGCGGAAACGGAAGCUUGCGGCGGCGGAAAAGUAUUUUCGUGGCUCCCCUGAUUUUUUGUUGUAUUUUAGGGAAUAUAUAGGCCAAAGAUCUAGGUCAGGGGCGCUCAGGGAGGCCACAAGCCCUGCCACCGCCGCCUCCCCCUGGUGGCAGAGUGGGGGCUUGUGGGCUCCGUGGAGCCCUCCUGGCUUGGCCCACAGGCCCGUGAUCUUCUUCCGUCCGAGAAAAAAAUCAUUUCGGGGAUUUUAUUCCGUUUGGACUCCGUUCCAAAAUCAGAUCUGAAAAGAGCCAAAAACACAGAAAAAACAGGAACUGGCACUUGAGACCGAAUUAAUAAGUUAGUCCCAAAAAAGAUAUAAAAGGUACAUAUACCAUCCAAAGAUGACAAGAUAACAACAUGAAACCAUAAAAAAUUAUAGAUACGUUUGAGACGUAUCAAGCAUCCCCAAGCUUAACUCCUGCUCGUCCUCGAGUAGGGAAGUGAUAAAGAAUGAAUUUUUGAUGCUUUCAUGCUACCUAGCAUAGAUGUCCUUUGUAACUCCUCUUAUGUGACGUGAAUGUUCAGAUCCAUUAGAUUAAAAAAAAAUAGUUUGCUAUUGACGUGGAAACAAUUAUAAUUCAAGCAAACUAGCAAGGUAAUCACGAACUUUCAAAAUAACAAGUCCAAAAGAAAGUUAUCCCUACAAAAGCAUAUAGUCUGGCUAUGCUCUAUCAUCAUUGCACAACGAAUUUAAAUCAUGCACAACCCCGGUAUUGGCCAAGUAAUUGUUUCACACCUUUACUUUCUCAAACCUUUUCAACUCUUACGCAAUACAUGAGCGUGAGCCAUGGUUAUAACACUAUAGAUGGUGUGGAGUGUGGUGGAGGUUGCAAGACAAAAAAGGAGAAGAUAGUCACAUUAACUAGGCAUAUCAAUGAGCUGUGGAGAUGCUCAUCAAUAGAUAUCAAUGUGAAUGAGUAGGGAUUUCCAUACAAAUGAUGCACUAGAGCUACGAGUAUGUGAAAGCUCUUAGAGAAAACUAGCGGGUGUGCAUCCUACUUGCUUGCUCACGAAGACCUAAGGCAAUUUUGAGGAAGCCUAUCAUUGGAAUAUACAAGGCAAGUUACAAAAUGAAAAUUUCCCACUAGUUAUAUGGUGGUG
rnacentral:lncRNA from 1 species